GAUUAAUAUGCCGGCAAGAGGUAUGAGACUGCACAGAAAAUAGAACAGCUAAUCCUGGAGAUGAACCUGAUAAAGAGAACCCACAGUCAGUACUUACAGCACUGAGGAGCCCUGUCCAGGUGGAGGGCGAGCAUCCAGGGGAAAGCGAGAACACAGUCCCCCACUACUACGAAUUAUGUAGUCGAGUUUCCCACAUUUGGGGAAAUCUCAGGGGUCAGCACAUCCGGAGUGCAAUGGAUAAGCCUUGCCCUGGGAAAACCAACUUCCUGAUCAUGGUAUCUCCCCUGCCAGAACUAUGCGUCAGUAACUCAGUCAUGGCACAGCAAGGACAGCCAGCUUGCCUGUUCUCUACCAUGCCUAUCAAUCAAAGCCAUCCAUCCCCGUGUCCCAGGGAUAUAGUAGUUGGCUUAGGAAUGGGCCUGGGAAUCAACUCAGGCCAAACAAAAGUGAGGGGGAGGAAGUUUAUUGGGGGUGUCUAGAAAAGGGGUGAGCUGUGAAUGAGAAAUUGUGGAACCUCAGGUGCACUGGCAGCCUCCCUGGCUCUAAGUAGAGUCCACUGAGGAGGAAGCUGACCCUGUGGGCCUCAACAUAGCGGAGCAGAGGAAACAUGGGCAUCCGAGGUCAUCACAGACCAUCCCACCGUGGACUUCACAUUCUGAGAGUCAGUAAACACCCUUACUGUUGCGUUUUUGUUUUGUUUUGUUUUUGAGACAGGGUCUUGCUAUUUUGCUCAGGCUGCUCUUGAACUCCUAAGAUCAAGCUAUCUUCCCACCUCAGGCCCCCAAGUAACUGAGACUACCAACACAUGCCCUGACACCUGACUCCUGGAUUGUUUUUUUUACUUGCAGCUUAAAGCAUCGUGACU
rnacentral:lncRNA from 13 species